GCCCUCCUGAUUCCAGUCCCUCAGAUCUAAAUACUGGUCUGAGUGGCUAAAAGGGAGGAACAAUAAAACUGAAGUGGACUUGGGGUCUUAAGUAACCUGCAAGUUUAUGUCAAAACAUA
rnacentral:snoRNA from 1 species